CCUACGGGUGGCAGCAGUGGGGAAUAUUGGGCCAUGGGCGCAAGCCUGACCGCGCAAUGCCGCGUGAAGGAAGCAGGCUUUCGGGUUGUAAACUUCUUUGACAGGGGGAGAGCAGAAGAAGGUACCCUGAAAACAAGACACGGCUAACUACGUGCCAGCAGCCGCGGUAAUACGUCGGUGGCAAGCGUUGUCCGGAUUUAAUGGGUGUAAAGGGCGUGUAGCCGGGACGGCAAGUCAGAUGUGAAAUCUGGAGGCUCAACCUCCAAAUUGCAUUUGAAACUUGUUUUCUUGAGUACUGGCGAGUCAGACGGAAUUCCUUGUGUAGCGGUGAAAUGCGUAGAUAUAAGGAGGAACACCAGUGGCGAAGGCGGUCUGCUGGACAGCAACUGACGGUGAGGCGCGAAAGCGUGGGGAGCAAACAGGAUUAGAUACCCCUGUAGUC
rnacentral:rRNA from 1 species